UACGUAGGGUGCGAGCGUUGUCCGGAAUUACUGGGCGUAAAGAGCUCGUAGGUGGUUUGUCGCGUUGUUCGUGAAAACUCACAGCUUAACUGUGGGCGUGCGGGCGAUACGGGCAGACUGGAGUACUGCAGGGGAGACUGGAAUUCCUGGUGUAGCGGUGGAAUGCGCAGAUAUCAGGAGGAACACCGGUGGCGAAGGCGGGUCUCUGGGCCGUAACUGACGCUGAGGAGCGAAAGCAUGGGUAGCGAACAGG
rnacentral:rRNA from 1 species